rnacentral:lncRNA from 1 species
GUCUUCUUGCUUCUCUUUGUUCUUUGUUCUUUUUUCUUCUUUUGCCCUUCUUUUUUUUUUCAAAAUAAUAAUAAUUGUAAACCUCCUUGUUAACAUUGUUCCUUUUUUUAAAAAAAUGAAAAUAAAUUGUUAUGUAGUUCUUUAGCAUGUAAAUAAAGAAAUUUCUUCGAUUUGAGAGUAUUAUAGAAUUCCAUUACCUUCAUCUUAAUGGAGUUCCGCUGCAUAAUUGUUGUAAUUUUGAAAAGAAAUGGUAGAUUGGAGGUGAUUAUUAAUUUUCAAUUUAUAAUUUGUUAGUAAUUUUAUUUUUGAUUUAACAAUAAUUUGAUGAUAUUAAUGGUGGAAUUGAUAUUAUAAUAGUGACGUGAUGAAGACUACUCUGGAGGAUUGACGAAGAAGGCGGCUACGUAGAGGAUUCCUGGUGAUGAUGGACUGAAGAAGAGCAGAGGGGAGGGUAAUGAAGAAAGAAGAAGAAAGAGAAGAAGAAAAAGAAAAUGAAGUUAAUAAAAUAUGAAAAAACGUCUAUAAAUCUUUUUAGUCAAGCGGAU